AGUGAACGCUGGCGGUAGGCCUAACACAUGCAAGUCGAACGGCAGCACAGUAAGAGCUUGCUCUUACGGGUGGCGAAUGGCGGACGGGUGAGGAAUACAUCCUACUCUACUUUUUCGUGGGGGAUAACGUAGGGAGACUUACGCUAAUACCGCAUACGACCUACGGGUGAAAGCAUGGGAUCUUCGGACCUUGCGCGAUUGAAUGCGCCGAUGUUGGAUUAGCUAGUUGGCGGGGUAAAGGCCCACCAAGUCGAGGAUACGUAGCUGGUCUGAGAGGAUGGUCAGCCACAUUGGAACUGAGACACGGUCCAGACUACUACGGGAGGCAGCAGUGGGGAAUAUUGGGCAAUGGGCGGAAGCCUGAUCCAGUCAUACCGCGUGGGUGAAGAAGGCCUUCGGGUUGUAAAGCCCUUUUGUUGGGAAAGAAAAGCAGCAGGUUAAUACCCCGCUGUUCUGACGGUACCCAAAGAAUAAGCACCGGCUAACUUCGUG
rnacentral:rRNA from 1 species